ACAUACUUCUUUAUAUGCCCAUAUGAACUUGGCAAACUGUGGAAUGUAAAGAAGUAUGUAU
rnacentral:pre_miRNA from 1 species